rnacentral:rRNA from 1 species
ACGAACGCUGGCGGCGUGCUUAACACCUGCAAGUCGAACGGAAAGGCCCUGCUUUUGUGGGGUGCUCGCGUGGCGAACGGGUGGGUAACACGUGAGUAACCUGCCCUUGACUUUGGGAUAACUUCAGGAAACUGGGGCUAAUACCGGAUAGGAGCUCCUGCUGCAUGGUGGGGGUUGGCAAGUUUCGGCGGUUGGGGAUGGACUCGCGGCUUAUCAGCUUGUUGGUGGGGUAGUGGCUUACCAAGGCUUUGACGGGUAGCCGGCCUGAGAGGGUGACCGGACAAAUUGGGACUGAGAUACGGCCCAGACUCCUACGGGAGGCAGCAGUGGGGAAUAUUGCACAAUGGGCGGAAGCCUGAUGCAGCAAAGCCGCGUGCGGGAUGACGGCCUUCGGGUUGUAAACCGCUUUCGCCUGGGACGAAGAGUGAGUGACGGUAAUGGGUAAAGAAGCACCGGCUAACUACGUG